UACAGAGGGUGCGAGCGUUAAUCGGAAUUACUGGGCGUAAAGCGUGCGUAGACGGUAGCGUAAGUCAGAUGUGAAAGCCCCGGGCUCAACCUGGGAAUUGCAUUUGAGACUGCUCUGCUCGGGUGCGGAAGAGGGAAGCGGAAUUUCCGGUGUAGCGGUGAAAUGCGUAGAUAUCGGAAGGAACACCAGUGGCGAAAGCGGCUUCCUGGUCCGACACCGACGUUCAGGCACGAAGGCCAGGGGAGCAAACGGG
rnacentral:rRNA from 1 species